rnacentral:piRNA from 1 species
UGUGUUAAAUACCCAGUCCCAGCUGGUGA